GAGCGAUGAUGUGUCAUGCCUUCUUGAUGGAGGGGUUCAUCACUAUUAUCUGAUGCUAAAAGACGACUUUAAUAGGCCUUACUGAGCUC